ACAAAUAAAUUUCCCUCUUAUCUCAUUUUCAUGACGCUCAACUCUCUCUGUGGGUCUGUCUGUCUCCAUCUGCAUCUUCCAUCUUCGUGCGACUCAGAAUCACUCCCGCUGGCAAGAGCUGGAAUUUGUAUAGCAUCAAUGUCGAAGCCACUGUAAGUUGCUGAGCAAGUUGUUGCAGCUCUUCGUUGUUGACAAAUUCACGAAGGAUUGGCCGUGUCUGCACAUCUACCCGCUAGGUUUUUCUAUUGCACAGGAGAACCCUUGUUUGAUCGAUUCCAAGUCCUCUCUUUGCUCAAGUAUCCCCUCUGCCUCCUCUCUCUAUAUUGAGGUAUUGUGGUUUGAAAUUUACACUUUUGUUUACAAAUGGCUUGAAUUCGAGCUUCUUCAUUUGGUUUCUUCAUUAGCGUUUUUCUUCAAGGUAAGUUUCUUCUGCGUUCUCUACUUUUCUAUUGUAUCUUGCUAAUUUUCACUUCCAUAUAUGUAGUAUCUUUCUCUCGACCUUAUUUGUUUGCUGGAUCUAGCAGCUUCGAUGCAUUUUCAAGUUUAAAAUCUCUUUUUUUUCUCUUAUGCACCCCUUAUUUAUGUAACUUCGUUAUAUGUGAUUAUUAAGCUGAAUUGAUUCUGAUCUUCUUUCGUUCAGCUUGAACACCGAUUUGAUUGCAUUUUGAUACACACAAGCAAGCAUGUAUGAUUGUGUUCAAUUUGCUUAACUUUUUGAGUGGGAACUUUUGCAUUGUUACAUUAUUAUUGAGCAAAACAUGAAUGAAUUUGAGAAUGAAACAGUUUAAACUGUUAGGUUAGUACACAUGACUAUAAUGUAAUUUGAGAUACUAUACAGGAUCUUUCCUGCAUUAGUGUGUGGAGUUUUUGUUGUUCAUGAUGCCAUUUAGUAGGUUAUUAACAUUAUGGUGGUUUAUCAACUUAGGCAAGACCAUUUUCUUCGAUGUUUUCUUAUAUUUCUGCUCUGUUACUGUUAGGUAUUUGGCAUCUCUACUCUACAAAUAUUUUCUUCACAUGGAUUGGACUAUUUGUUUUGCUGUCGUAGAGAGUCGUGGGAGGUGAAUUUUAUUCGUAAAAAUGUCAGUUGUAAGUUUCAUAUUGUACAAGUAAGACACAUAGAAUGGUGCAGAUACUCAUGAAUGAAAUACACUAUGUAAUGCCCGUGGCUACUGAGGCUGUUCAGCUCACAGCUAAAGCCCAUUACUCUGGCAAAUUGAAGGAGGAAGUCACUGCAGUCAAGAUCCAGAUAGCGUUCCGAGGAUAUUUGGUAUUAUUAUUCUCUCCCAUAAAUGCCCAUUUUGGUCUAAUUUGAGUUAGUUCAUGAAGUAUGCAUUCUAUACAUGAUUUCUUCUUUUGUUUGCUUUGUCGUUCUUCCUUAAUAUGUUGUUUUUUGUUUUGAAAAAAUGCCAAAUGUGCUUGUGAUUAUGACAUUUGUUGGAUUUGAGAUCAUUUACACACUCGUGUAUGGUUAAAAUCUGGCCGGUAGCUUAGCCAAACUGUGGGAAUAUGUUGCGGGAAGUUUAGAUUUCUGAUAACUAGUUGAAUUUCAGUUGUGCAGUUAGCAUUAUUAAACUGAAUUUAUCUUCUUAUCGAGUCAAUGGCCUGUUCUGAAUAAUCUUUUUUGACUCAUUCUGUAGUUUGUUAUCAUUUUCAUUUUUCAUUCUGCAUUAAUUGCCUACUUUAAUGUCUGGACUUUUACUAGUAAAUGCAAAAAAUCAUCGACCACUCUUUCAAUUUGUGAGCCAAACUUACUGCAUUUAUGAUGAAAUCACUUGAUAGGUUUCAUCUUCUAGAUAGAUCCGGAUAUAUGAAAGCUUAAAGGAGAGUGUUAAAUUUAAAUAAUUGAAGAUGCUUGUGCAUAGUGUAUCCCUCAAAGUUGAAAACCCUUGAAAGAGAGAAUAAUUCCUUUAUGGAUCCAAUAGGGCUGUGAAUUGUUUACUCAUUGUUUUAGAUAAUUCAAAGUACACAGAUUUUGGAUGCAAAGCUGAGGUAAAAAAGUAACACAGAACGAGUAAAAAAAACUAACAUUAGCUCCAAUUCAAAAGUGGUGUAGUUCAAUAGAAAUAGAACAAAUACAGGUGCUGCAUACUACAUACUCAUCAUGUGUGCAACUCAUCCCAUUGCCUAGUUUAAUUGAAGCACUUUAGGAAUUGGAUUUAAACAAUGCAACUGGAGGCCUUUAAACAAUGAAUGUUUUAUAGUUUUGUUUCUUUUCUUUCUGUUUUCCCCCUCCUUCAAUACGUGUUGACUCAAAGUUUGAGUAUAAAAUAGAUGCAAAAUUAUGAUGGACCUCAUGGUUUCAACUAUGAGUCUUCUUUUACACUCUUUAUUUAUGUGUUUUUCCUUUCCAUUUAUUUGGUAAGUAAGCAUUUCAUUGAUGCUCAAUCUGGAUUUUCCUACAACACUUGAAUAUUAUCAUUGGAGUCACAUAGCUCUAUUGUCACAUGAUAUAUCUAAGGCUCUCAUAUUUGAUGUCUUUAUGUAGUCAAUAAUUGUUGAAUACGGACACACUACCCUUUUGAAGUGGUUGUUUUCUUAGGAAGGAUUACUGCUCUUUUUCAGAUCGCUUACAUAUAUACAAGAAAAUAUUGGAUGAUCAUAAAAUAUCUGAUACCAGUGAAGCUUUUAAUAGGCAUCCUACCUAAGUUUUCACUCUUGGAGAAGUAUUACCUGCUUGAGAUACAUUUGAGGGGCAAGAUUUCUUUCACACUAGUGCAAUGUUGAUAUCCUUUAUUCUCUUAGGAAAAUAUUUGCAGGUAAUGUCAUGUCAGAGAUAGAAAUCAGCACUCAACUACUACAGAGGAAUGACAUUUUGAACACCGAUUCCAGAGGCAAAGGUUCCUGUUAAUGGUAUUGUUAUUAAUGGUCAGAGUCAUGUGAAUGAGGGGUAUGAUCACAGGAGAAGCAAAGCCAAUAGCUAAGAGACCUAGUGACACGGUUCAGAUGGUUUAUUUUCUCUUAGUAGUAAAAUUGAUACUUUUGACAUUUUUAAAAUGUUUAAUUUAAUGGCAAUAUAUAUAUUUUUUUAUAACAUCAUGAACAGGUUAUUUGUGGCACACCCAUGGAUGAAUGUAAUCCACUGUACGGCACCAUUCAUGUGCCUUUUUUUUUUAUUCAAAAUAUAAAAAUUUGACAAAAGGAUUCAA